GAAACAAACAGCAUCUGCAUCCUUUUUUCACUAACUGUCACAAAGCUGGAUGCAGGUCAAUUGUCUGUUUCUCCUGAUUUCUUCCUUAAAUGGACGCAAAUCAAUGUAUACAUUUCCUUCAUGGAGACUGUUUCUGAGUUCAUAAGAAUGCGUCUGAUAGAAAAAUCCUUUGAGGAGAACACAAAACUUGAACAAGGGAAAAUUUGGUUUAUUACUACAAUGUGGGACAUCACCUUUGACUUAGUUAAUCGUUUUCUGACUUUCCAACACACCUAUGGCUAUUUUUCCUUCUGCAUCCAGACCAAAAAGAAGACAACAUAUGGUGAUUUUACUUUCUUCUCCUAUUCUGUCAGGAUGUUUGCCCAUCAAGCAUUUAUGUGUUCACAUUCAAAGCAUGCCUUGUUGGUGAAUGGCUGGAUCAGUUGCAAAGAGAGAACACCUGAGGCCUUUGCCCCAGAACCAUGUGGAAAAGAUACUUUGCCUUGACAGCUACCGCCUCUACAACAACAUCUGGGCUGAGGCACGUGCCUUAAACACUGCCUAUGCCUCCAGAUCCAGCUGGAGGAGGAAGAAAAGUGGGAAGGAGUCAGGAAUUCAGAGGCUGCAGCCUUGGCAGAUGUGUGGACAGCUG